rnacentral:misc_RNA from 1 species
UUAAUAUUUAAAUAUUAGGUACUUAUAUUAUUAUAAAUUUUCAGAAAAUGAAUUUGGCGGAUCCAAAUGAUGAUCUUGUUUCAAGUGUAUCGUUAUAUAAGAAAAGAGCCCCGUACCUUUACGGGUUUACCACACCUUUUUUCUUCUUGUACAUAGCUUGGUUGUACAAUUGGUUGGUUGUGUACGGGUACAAUGAGUACGUUGAGAUCGGUACAGUCUGCGGAGUAGUCCUUCUUCUUAUUCAUGUAUUAGUUUUGUUGAGUUGUUAUUGGUCUGUAAGUAUACAAGCUGUCAUGAUGUGCUCCAGUGUACCUGUCACUAGCAAACAAGAUGCUACAUAUGCUAAAGUUACUCCGCUUGAAAAUCACGGGUUCUCUGAGCUUGUCAGAUUGGCUAGAACAGGACCACAUCAAUUAUGGUUCUCCUUCCAGAAAAUUAAAUACGUGUUUGACACAGAGAAGAAGAUAUUCCGAACCAUCCAGUUUCCAGUGGACAUGGAGCUAAAGACGUACAGUGAGUGCAAGGGGUGGAUGGAGGAAGAGGUGCAUGAUAAGACAAUGUUUUAUGGGAAUAACGAGGUAGAGAUGGCAGUUCCAGAGUUUAAGGAACUGUUUCUUGAGAGGGCAACCGCACCAUUCUUCGUAUUCCAGAUCUUCUGUGUUGGAUUAUGGUGCCUGGAUGAGUACUGGUACUACUCUGUGUUCACCCUGAUGAUGCUGGUAAUGUUUGAGUGCACCCUUGUCCAGCAACAGAUCAGAAAUAUGUCGGAGAUCAGGAAGAUGGGAAACAAGCCUUACAUGAUCCAGGUAUAUCGUGGACGAAGAUGGAGACCCUUGCCAACCGAUCAACUGAUUCCUGGCGACAUUAUCUCCAUCAGUAGAUGUUUGAAUGAUAACCUGGUUCCAUGUGAUAUACUUCUACUCCGGGGUCCUUGUAUAGUAGACGAGAGUAUGCUCACAGGGGAGAGUAUUCCUCAGAUGAAGGAGUCCCUGGAGAAUAGUUCCUGGGACGAGGGUAGAUGUCUAGACCUGGACCAGGAUUCAAGAUUACAUGUUCUAUUUGCUGGAACCAGAAUAGUUCAGCAUACUCCUCCGAGUAAGACAGCUGCAGGACUACGAGCUGGAGAUGGAGGAUGUGUUGGAUAUGUUCUUCAGACAGGGUUCAAUACACAACAGGGUAAACUUCUCCGGACAAUCCUGUUCGGAGUGAAGCGGGUGACGGCUAACAACCUUGAAACCUUCUUCUUCAUCCUCUUCCUUCUCAUCUUCGCCAUCGCAGCUGCCAGCUAUGUCUGGAUCUACGGCACAAUGGACCCAACCAGGAAUCGUUACAAGUUGUUCCUUGAGUGUACACUGAUCCUGACUAGUGUAGUACCUCCUGAACUACCUAUAGAGCUCAGCCUUGCAGUCAAUACUAGCCUUCUCUCUCUUUCUAAACUUAAAGUCUACUGUACAGAACCAUUCAGGAUCCCAUUUGCCGGAAAGGUUGAAAUUCUUUGUUUUGACAAGACUGGAACUUUGACUAGUGACGACCUGGUGGUCGAGGGUAUUGCAGGACUACCGCAGGAACCAGGCACUGGUCCACAGGAGAAGAUAGAAUCUAAGUACGGAGUUAUCCCAGUAGACAAAGCUCCUCUUCAGAGUAUUCAGGUUUUGGCGAGUUGUCACAGUUUAGUUCAGCUAGAUGAUGGACUAGUAGGAGAUCCUCUUGAGAAAGCUACCCUGGCGGCUGUAGAUUGGUCUCUAACUAAGGGUGAGGCUGUUAUACCUCGCAAAGGAAAAUAUGGAGGACUGAAGAUCUUCCAGCGUUUUCAUUUUUCAUCCGCGCUCAAGCGCAUGAGCGUGGUUUGUGGUUAUACUGUUCCUGCAACCUCGGACACUAAUUAUAUUGCUACAAUCAAGGGUGCUCCUGAAACCUUGAAGGGUAUGUUUAUCGAUGUACCGGCCGACUACGACAAGAACUACUUGGCUUUAUCAAGGAGGGGAGCCAGGGUUCUAGCUCUAGGUUGGAGGGAUCUAGGCAGGCUCACUCAUCAGGAUAUUAAGGAACUGACAAGAGAAGGUGUAGAGCAGAAGGCGAUAUUUGCUGGGUUUGUGAUAAUCUCCUGUCCGAUGAAACCUGACUCCAAGUCCGUGAUCAAGGAGUUGGUCGGGUCCUCACAUCAGGUUAUGAUGAUUACUGGAGAUAAUCCUUUGACAGCUUGUCAUGUAGCUAAACAGCUCAGAUUCUCAAGAAACUCGACGACUCUUAUCCUUACUAGUGAUGAAGUGGAUGGUUGGGUUUGGAAGAGUGUGGAUGAGAAGGAGACUGUCUCCUUGAAGGGACCCAAGGAGCUCGGCAACCAACAGUGGAAGCAGUUCAUCUCCAGCUAUGAUAUGUGUCUUACAGGUGAGGGACUCACGUACUUAUUGUCUGAGAGAAAAGAACUGGCGCACCGUCUUCUCCCCCACGUCAAGGUGUUCGCUAGGGUCAACCCUAAACAGAAGGAGGUCGUCAUCACUACUCUCAAGUAUCUAGGUUAUUACACGUUGAUGUGUGGAGAUGGAACUAAUGAUGUUGGUGCUCUGAAGCAUGCUCAUGUAGGAGUAGCAAUUCUUUCAUCUAUUCAAACUAAGAAGAAGAAAGAGGAAAAGGAUGAGGAGAGGGAGGUAGAUAAGUUUGACAAACUGAAGAAAGAAGGAAAAGGGAAAAGGACGGAUGUAAAGAAACCUGAUCCAAGAGAUAGGAUGAAUGCACGACAAGCUCAGCUGCAGAAGAUGAUGCAGGAACUUCAGGAAGCUGAGGAUAUGCAGGUCGUGAAGCUAGGCGACGCUAGUAUCGCUGCUCCGUUCACCUCCAAGCACUCGAGUAUAGUUUCAAUUAAUCACGUGAUCAAACAGGGCCGUUGUACCCUGGUCACUACUCUACAGAUGUUUAAGAUUUUGGCUUUGAAUGCCCUUAUUUUGGCAUACAGUCAGUCAGUUUUGUACCUGGAGGGAGUUAAAUUCUCUGACGGUCAAGCAACUUUCCAAGGUCUUCUCCUAGCAGCCUGCUUUCUCUUCAUCUCAAGAUCAAAGCCCCUGACAACCCUGUCUAAAUCCCGUCCCCUGCCCAACAUAUUCAACGUGUACACCAUCCUCACUGUGAUAUCUCAGUUCGCCGUUCAUCUCAGCUCCAUGAUUUUCCUCGUACAGCAGGCCUACCUGCUGGAGCCCAGGGAGGAGUUCCCGGACCUGGAGAAGGAGUUUGCUCCGAACCUUCUCAACAGCACAGUCUACAUCAUCUCUAUGUUUCUCCAGGUGCUAACCUUUGCCAUUAACUACCGUGGACACCCGUUCAUGGAAUCCUUAACAGAAAACCGUAGUCUUCUCUACUCUCUAGCAGGGGCUGGAGGAUUUGUAGUUAUGCUUGCAUUAGGUCUUCUCCCUGAGUUUGCUGAACAGUUCAGUAUUAUAAACUUCACAGAUGAUUUCAGAUCUUUACUUAUCAAGGUUCUGAUGCUUGAUGCUGGAGCUGCCUAUACUCUAGACAGAGUUCUUCUCUACCUAGCUGGAGAUUGUAAACUCAAGAUUAGGGUUUAACUCGCCAGUUUGCAGUACAGUACACAGAAUAGAACGCAGUGCAAUACAGUUUUCUCUACAUAGCUGGAGAUUGUAAACUCAAGAUUGGGAUUUAACUCGUAGUUGACAGUACAGUACGUAGUACAAUUACCAAGUUCAGUCUGCAGUACAUUACUUAGAAUAGUACGCAGUACAGUACAUACAACUAGAUCUAAUAAUUAGAUUAUUUUUGUACUGUAUGGACAUUUAACUGUAUGCACACUGUACAAUGUACUGUACAAUUAAAUGUUGAAAGUUAAAGAAAGGUCGUCAAACGAAUUUAAGGACAGUUAUCAUCCUUCGUCUAUUCUACGUUCUAUUCUAUAAACCUCUCGUCUCACGUCUGACGUCUGUUAAACUAGUUCUGGCAGUUAUUUAUUUAUGUAUUUAUUUUAUCCAUGUUUACCAUCUUUUAAAAGUACAGUAAAGGUUGAAACAUGCAUUGUUAUUAAUUGAACUGUGAUGUCUGGGUAUUAGGUAGGUAGUUGGUCACUUUAUUUGAUUUUGUAUCUGUGAUUAAAUGUUUGGUGUAAAGUAUCACUUUAACAAAAUAAUUGUUAUUUCUAUUUCUAGA